CAAGGUACAUUGGAAAGUUUUUUUAGUUUUCAGGAUUUUUUUCCAACUAAAAUUCUAUGGACCUGUGUUUCCCUCCAUGUGUAUCUCCUUCUGGGGGCCUCUUUGAUAAGGAAAUAAGGCUUUUAGCAAAACUUCUCAUUUCAAACAUUUAGGAGAACAGCUAAACGCUAGCACUGGUUUGAGGGACCAGAUUAAGUCCUCAUGAAUCUCAGGUCCCAUUUCCUGUGGAUAAUAAUAUUGAUCCCGUCAUGCUUUGGUGUUUAAGGGUGGUUAAUAAAAAAGUUAGGUUAAAGGUAAGCCACUGCUGACUGGUAUGUUUGUUUGCCCCCACCUUUGUUUGAGAGACUUACCUUCAUAGGUCUGCUCUGCAUACGUGUCAAUUGUGUAAAAUAAAAGGUGUUCCCUCUCAAUCGAAGAGGCUGGUUCUACUUUUAUGUACAGACAAGGGAGCCUCUGAAACUGUUGCCGACUGCUUCCUGAAGGCCCUGGAUUGUCGUAUUCUCCUGCUCAUAUCCAGCACUAAGCACAAGGCCCCGGUGGAUCCAGGACCUGGCAUAGAGGUGCACUCAGUAACGGAGAUCCCGGUCCUCAGGAAAGGUAGAGAAGACAAAUGAUAUCAUCAGAGACACCUCAGAAAACUGUCCAAAGAAGCUCAUCAUCCUUGGGUCAAUCUUCUUCCCAUGAUUUUA